rnacentral:rRNA from 1 species
CUACGGGAGGCAGCAGUCGAGAAUCUUCGGCAAUGGGGGAAACCCUGACCGAGCGACGUCGCGUGGUGGAUGAAGGCCUUCGGGUUGUAAACACCUGUUGGGGGGAAACAAUAACGAGUGAACCCCUGAGGAAGCACGGGCUAAGUUCGUGCCAGCAGCCGCGGUAAGACGAACCGUGCAAACGUUACUCGGAAUCACUGGGCUUAAAGCGCACGUAGGCGGCGACAUAAGUUAGAGGUGAAAUCCCAUCGGCUCAACCGUGGAACUGCCUCUAAUACUGUGUUGCUUGAGGGAGAACGGGGCAUUCGGAACUUCCGGUGGAGCGGUGAAAUGUGUUGAUAUCGGAAGGAACGCCGGUGGCGAAAGCGGAAUGCUGGGUCUCUUCUGACGCUGAGGUGCGAAAGCUAGGGUAGCAAACGGGAUUAGAAACCCUUGUAGUCC